AUUGAACGCUGGCGGCAUGCUUUACACAUGCAAGUCGAACGGUAACAGGCCGCAAGGUGCUGACGAGUGGCGAACGGGUGAGUAAUGCAUCGGAACGUGCCCAGUCGUGGGGGAUAACGCAGCGAAAGCUGCGCUAAUACCGCAUACGAUCUCUGGAUGAAAGCGGGGGACCGAAAGGCCUCGCGCGAUUGGAGCGGCCGAUGUCAGAUUAGGUAGUUGGUGGGGUAAAGGCCCACCAAGCCAACGAUCUGUAGCUGGUCUGAGAGGACGACCAGCCACAAUGUGACUGAGACACGGCCCAGACUCCUACGGGAGGCAGCAGUGGGGAAUUUUGGACAAUGGGCGCAAGCCUGAGCCAGCAAUGCCGCGUGCAGGAAGAAGGCCUUCGGGUUGUAAACUGCUUUUGUACGGAACGAAACGGUCCUGGUUAAUACCUGGGGCUAAUGACGGUACCGUAAGAAUAAGCACCGGCUAACUACGUGCCAGCCGCCGCCGUAACAC
rnacentral:rRNA from 1 species